rnacentral:rRNA from 1 species
UACAUGGGGUGCAAACGUUGCUCGGAAUCAUUGGGCGUAAAGCGCACGUAGGCGGUUUGCUAAGUCGGAUGUGAAAGCCCUCGGCUUAACUGAGGAAGUGCACCCGAAACUGGCAGGCUUGAGUACGAAAGGGGGUCGCGGAAUUCCCGGUGUAGAGGUGAAAUUCGUAGAUAUCGGGAGGAACACCGGUGGCGAAGGCGGCGACCUGGGUCGAUACUGACGCUGAGGUGCGAAAGCGUGGGGAGCAAACAGG